AUUGGUCCCGUGGUGUGGCAGGGGACGAAUUUCAGGCAUAAAAAAAGCACCCCGAAGGGUGCUUUUUUUGUUUC
rnacentral:sRNA from 1 species